rfam:Leptomonas seymouri strain ATCC 30220 Lsey_0184, whole genome shotgun sequence.
AUUGAGUUCGAAUGCGCUGGGUGACGUCAGUUCGCCCGAGUGCGGGAAACGCCCCAAAGAGCC